AGUGAACGCUGGCGGUAGGCCUAACACAUGCAAGUCGAACGGCAACACAGUAAGAGCUUGCUCUUACGGGUGGCGAGUGGCGGACGGGUGAGGAAUACAUCGGAAUCUACUUUUUCGUGGGGGAUAACGUAGGGAAACUUACGCUAAUACCGCAUACGACCUACGGGUGAAAGCAGGGGAUCUUCGGACCUUGCGCGAUUGAAUGAGCCGAUGUCGGAUUAGCUAGUUGGCGGGGUAAAGGCCCACCAAGGCGACGAUCCGUAGCUGGUCUGAGAGGAUGAUCAGCCACACUGGAACUGGGACACGGUCCAGACUCCUACGGGAGGCAGCAGUGGGGAAUAUUGGACAAUGGGCGCAAGCCUGAUCCAGCCAUACCGCGUGGGUGAAGAAGGCCUUCGGGUUGUAAAGCCCUUUUGUUGGGAAAGAAAAGCAGCAGGUUAAUACCCCGCUGUUCUGACGGUACCCAAAGAAUAAGCACCGGCUAACUUCGUG
rnacentral:rRNA from 1 species